rnacentral:lncRNA from 1 species
UAUUUUGUCUUAUUUUGACUCAAACUUGUCAUGUUUGUGCUGAUGUGCUGUAGGUGGAGAGUGAGUUCAUCCUGGAGAGUGAGAGGGAGUCGUUCAUUGAGCAGAUUCGAGAGGUGAUCGAGAAUGCCAACAAGAAAGGCCUGGACAGAGACGCCAACAGUCAGGUAAAUUAGUGGUUCCCAACCUGGGCGACAGGACCCUUUGGGGAGAGGCCAAAAAUCGCGAAUUGGGUGCGAGUGUCAAAUCAAGCUGUGAUCAUUCCACCUGCAUGAAUGUAAAAAAGAGGUAUAUGAUUUUUCCCACAAACCUGGAGUGAAUUAAUUCUGCACCAAAUCGUAAAAGCGAACGUGUCUAGAAAGGUGAAGUAUGUGUUUUUUGAUCUGCAGAUGACGGGAGGCAUGGAGCAGCAGGUUCCAGCAAUAUCUGAACCCCUACCAGGUAACAAAAGAGUAGUAGUGUGUUUGAUAGUGGCUGCAUCCCUUUGAUAUAUAAUGUUUUGAUUUGUGAAAUAAUAGCAUAUAUAUUCACAACAGUAAUGUUUUACUUCCAGAUACGCACCCUAGUGCCACGAUGCAGGUAGUGCACUCGGCGGGGCGUAAGUUUAUCGUGAGUCCUGUCCCUGAGGCCCGACUGAGAGAGCCCCCCUCAACGCCCUAUUCACCUGCUCCUGCUACACCUGCAGAAAUAAUCCCUCCGGCAUCAGUCGCUGGCCCGCCUCAGUCUUCGGCCCCACCUGUAGGCCUGUCCCAGUCCGCGGGGGCCGUGAGCUUACAACAGGCUUUCUCUGAGCUCCGACAGGGCACUCAGCUGGACACCGGCCCCAGCACGGCACCCGCCUCUAUCCACUCGCCUGUCCCGCCUCUGCCCCUAACUACCGCCACCAUUUCCAGCAAUACUAUUUGUACCCCGGUGUCUUCCACAAGUGAUGGAGCCAGAGCUACACUCAGUCCUACGGCUGGCUUGGUUUCCCCGCUUCAACUAGAGCUAGAUAAGCCCGUCCCGACUCCUCCUACAUCUGCUGUCCCGUCCUUUUGCCACAGCCAGCCUCGCACCUCUACUUCCCCUGUCACUGUGCUGAGCCAACCUAUCCUUCAACCAUCUACACAGCCAGACUCACCAGCCCAGUCUCAAUCUCAAGUCCAAAACUUAACCCAUGUGCCUCCCCAAUCUGUCAGUGCUUCAGUUGCCCCUGCUGUGUCAGGCGUUCCACCAGCCCAGCUUACCUCGUCCACUCAAUCUUCCACGAUCCCCCAAAUGACAUCGGUUUUGACAGCGCCUCUCCAGUUAUUGCUCCUCCUCUGUCCACGAUUGCCCCAAUAACUGCCACUCCUGCCCCUCCUCAACUGGCUACCUCCACCCCUGCCAGUGUCCCUUUGGUCCAGCCCACCCUAGUUCACUCCCAGCCACAAACAGCCACCCUCCCCGGCCAGACGCACGUGCACUGCGGGGAGUGCGACGCCCCGAGCGAGUCUCAAGGCAAGCCUGACGACAUCCAGGUGCUGGAGAAGAAAUUGCGGUCCCUGUUCAUGGAUCUCGGAGGGGGAGUCAUGUCUAUGCAGGGGGAUGUGGUAGGCGGCGAUUUGGUUUUCAGCCCCUCCACUACCGGGACGUCGUCUCCUUUGGGCCCCGGCGUAAUGUCCACCUUACCCAUGACCACGCUCAGUUCAGCACAGGUGGCUAACACCCCUCAGCCGCCCUCCAGCCUCGCUUUGGGGUCGAUGGGAUCAAGUGCCCAAAGCCAGGGGGUCCUGGGACGCCAAACAGCACGGCCGCUCCAUCAGGUAUGUACUGUACUGGUA